AGCUUUUUGAAUCCGUCAAGAGAUUUCAUCAGACACCGACCCAUCAGGGCUGAUUAGACUUUCAAGAUAAGUGAAGUU
rnacentral:pre_miRNA from 1 species